CAUUACACAGAGAAAAUUGUCAUGGACCAUGUGCUAGAAUGACAUGCAAAUUUGUGAAGCAAAGUAUAUGUUU
rnacentral:snRNA from 1 species